UACAGAGGUCCCAAGCGUUGUUCGGAUUUAUUGGGCGUAAAGGGUGCGUAGGCGGUUGCCUAAGUCUGGUGUGAAAUCUCGGGGCUCAACCUCGAAACUGCACUGGAUACUGGGUAACUUGAGUACUGGAGGGGAGACUGGAAUUUACGGUGUAGCAGUGAAAUGCGUAGAUAUCGUAAGGAAGACCAGUGGCGAAGGCGGGUCUCUGGACAGUUCCUGACACUGAGGCACGAAGGCCAGGGGAGCAAACGGG
rnacentral:rRNA from 1 species